GGGUGAGUAACACGUAGGCAACCUACCCUCAGGAGGGGGACAACAUCGGGAAACCGGUGCUAAUACCGCGUAAGACCACUAGUUGGAAUACUGGUGGUAAAAGGAGCAAUCCACCUGGGGAUGGGCCUGCGGCCUAUCAGGUAGUUGUUGGGGUAACGGCCUACCAAGCCGAUGACGGGUAGCCGGUCUGAGAGGACGAACGGUCUCACUGGAACUGCGACACGGUCCAGACUCCUACGGGAGGCAGCAGUGGGGAAUUUUGCACAAUGGGCGAAAGCCUGAUGCAUCGACGCCGCGUGGAGGGUGAAGGCCUUCGGGUUGUUACUCCUUUUCUCAGGGAAGAUAAUGACUGUACCUGAGGAAUAAGCCACGGCUAACUCUGCGCCAGCAGCCGCGGUAAGACACAGGUGGCAAGCGUUGUUCGGAAUUUUGUGUUUAAAG
rnacentral:rRNA from 1 species